UUAGACAUUUUGUAUGACAACCACUACUAGCAGUGAUUACGACUGGAUAUAUUCUAAUACGUUCAAUUUAAUAAAUUAAAACGUUUCUAUAAAUCUUAUGUUCUUGUUCAAUUAGAGAAAAACCAUGGUAAAAUAUGGUUACAGCAAAAAAAAAAAAAUGCACUGUGUAAUAAAUUACGUCGCGUUGGGAUAAACUGCGAACGGGCUUAGAUAAACAAGCUUUGCGCCGUGGAGCGUAAGCGCAUGGCCCGUCUGUAGUGUGCGUGCGUGUGUCGUUGAACGUUUCCAGUUUUCCAAUCCGACUGGGAGGUGUUCCGGUAGACGAUAAGGAGUGAUCUGCGGAAGACAGCGUAGCAUCGUGCAGCAGACGCGAUCGAUAGUGCAGCGAGACCGCGCCUCCCCCCCCUCCCCCCUCGCUCUCUGUCCGCCGCCGGCUGAAACUUUCGCGAUAAGUACGGAACUAGCGCGUGCCGUACGCAAUGCAAUAUUGUUAGCCGGUUACGAGUCUGAAACAGCGGAUAUUAAGGCUGCGGAGACUCCGUUGUCGCGUUUUUACAUUGUGAGCUUCGAAUGAAUACCGAGUUUUCGUUGCAUUGUAUUAAUUUUAUUAUCUAACUAAAUGCUGUGGGGGUUACUGUUAAUGAUACUUUCGUGCCUCACGGUUGACGACUGUAAUUAUUCGUGACCGAAAUUAAAUUGUAAAAUUCAUGGCAUUCAUUAAAACUUUAUGAACAGAAA